UAGGGAAUCUUGGACAAUGGGCGAAAGCCUGAUCCAGCCAUGCCGCGUGAGUGAUGAAGGCCUUAGGGUUGUAAAGCUCUUUCGCCAGGGAAGAUAAUGACGGUACCUGGAUAAGAAGCCCCGGCUAACUUCGUGCCAGCAGCCGCGGUAAUACGAAGGGGGCUAGCGUUGUUCGGAAUUACUGGGCGUAAAGCGCACGUAGGCGGCUUUCCAAGUUGGAGGUGAAAUCCCCGGGCUUAACCCGGGAACUGCCUCCAAAACUGAAAGGCUAGAGUCCGAGAGAGGUGAGUGGAAUUUCCAGUGUAGAGGUGAAAUUCGUAGAUAUUGGAAAGAACACCUGUGCCGAAGGCGGCUCACUGGCUCGGUACUGACGCUGAGGUGCGACAGCGUGGGGAUCAAACA
rnacentral:rRNA from 1 species